rnacentral:rRNA from 1 species
GGCUCCUUCGGGAGCUGAGUAGAGUGGCGAACGGGUGAGUAACGCGUGGGAAACUGUCCUGGGAAGGGGGAUAACUCGGGGAAACCCGGGCUAAUACCGCAUAAGCCCCUUAGGGGGGAAAGCCGAGAGGCGUCCGAGGAGGUGCCCGCGUCCGAUUAGCUAGUUGGUGGGGUAAGAGCUCACCAAGGCGACGAUCGGUAGCCGGUCUGAGAGGACGGACGGCCACACUGGGACUGAGACACGGCCCAGACUCCUACGGGAGGCAGCAGUAGGGAAUUUUGCGCAAUGGGGGAAACCCUGACGCAGCAACGCCGCGUGGAGGAAGAAGGCUUUCGAGUCGUAAACUCCUGUCCUUGGGGACGAAGAAGUGACGGUACCCGAGGAGGAAGCCCCGGCUAACUCCGUGCCAGCAGCCGCGGUAAUACGGGGGGGGCGAGCGUUGUUCGGAAUUACUGGGCGUAAAGGGCGCGUAGGCGGCCUGAGAAGUUCUGGGUGAAAGCCCCCGGCUCAACCGGGGAAGGUCCUGGAAAACCAUCGGGCUGGAGUGCUGGAGAGGCCGGCGGAAUUUCGGGUGUAGCGGUGAAAUGCGUAGAUAUCCGAAGGAACAUCGGAGGCGAAGGCGGCCGGCUGGACAGACACUGACGCUGAGGCGCGAAAGCC